rnacentral:rRNA from 1 species
GACGAACGCUGGCGGCGUGCUUAACACAUGCAAGUCGAACGGAAAGGCCCUGCUUUUGUGGGGUGCUCGAGUGGCGAACGGGUGAGUAACACGUGAGUAACCUGCCCUUGACUUUGGGAUAACUUCAGGAAACUGGGGCUAAUACCGGAUAGGAGCUCCUGCUGCAUGGUGGGGGUUGGAAAGUUUCGGCGGUUGGGGAUGGACUCGCGGCUUAUCAGCGUGUUGGUGGGGUAGUGGCUUACCAAGGCUUUGACGGGUAGCCGGCCUGAGAGGGUGACCGGCCACAGUGGGACUGAGAUACGGCCCAGACUCCUACGGGAGGCAGCAGUGGGGAAUAUUGCACAAUGGGCGGAAGCCUGAUGCAGCAACGCCGCGUGCGGGAUGACGGCCUUCGGGUUGUAAACCGCUUUCGCCUGUGACGAAGCGUGAGUGACGGUAAUGGGUAAAGAAGCACCGGCUAACUACGU